GACAGAGGGUGCAAACGUUGUUCGGAAUUACUGGGCGUAAAGCGCGUGUAGGCGGCCCAGCAAGUCGACUGUGAAAUCUCCGGGCUUAACCCGGAAAGGUCAGCCGAUACUGCGGGGCUAGAGUGCAGAAGGGGCAACUGGAAUUCUCGGUGUAGCGGUGAAAUGCGUAGAUAUCGAGAGGAACACCUGCGGCGAAGGCGGGUUGCUGGGCUGACACUGACGCUGAGGCGCGAAAGCUAGGGGAGCGAACGGG
rnacentral:rRNA from 1 species